CCUACGGGGGGCAGCAGUGGGGGAUAUUGCACAAUGGGGGAAACCCUGAUGCAGCGACGCCGCGUGUGGGAAGACGGUCUUCUGGAUUGUAAACCACUGUCCCCAGGGACGAAAAUGACGGUACCUGGGGAGGAAGCUCCGGCUAACUACGGGCCAGCAGCCGCGGUAAUACGUAGGGAGCAAGCGUUGUCCGGAAUUACUGGGUGUAAAGGGAGCGUAGGCGGGGAUGCAAGUUGGGUGUCAAACCUACCGGCUAAACCGAUAGUCGCACUCAAAACUGCAGCUCUUGAGUGAAGUAGAGGCAGGCGGAAUUCCUAGUGUAGCGGUGAAAUGCGUAGAUAUUAGGAGGAACACCAGUGGCGAAGGCGACCUGCUGGGCUUUAACUGACGCUGAGGCUCGAAAGUGUGGGGAGCAAACAGGAUUAGAUACCCGGGUAGUC
rnacentral:rRNA from 1 species